rnacentral:rRNA from 1 species
AUUAGACUACCCGGUAGUCCCAGCUGUAAACUAUGUGCGUUAGGUGUGUCAGUGACCACGUGUCACUGAGGUGCCGAAGGGAAACCGUGAAACGCACCGCCGUGGGAGUACGGUCGCAAGGCUGAAACUUAAAGGAAUUGGCGGGGGAGCACCGCAACGGGAGGAGCGUGCGGUUCAAUUGGAUUCAACGCCGGACAACUCACCAGGAGCGACGGUUACAUGAAGGCCAGGCUGAUGACCUUGCCUGAUUUUCCG